GGCCGGUUAGCUUAGUUGGUAGAGCGUGGUGCUAAUAACGCCAAGGUCGUGGGUUCGAUCCCCAUACUGGCCA
rfam:Acanthamoeba castellanii str. Neff unplaced genomic scaffold scf7180000084451, whole genome shotgun sequence.